rnacentral:rRNA from 1 species
CACGGGGGGAGCAAGCGUUGUUCGGAAUUACUGGGCGUAAAGCGUGCGCAGGCGGUGAUGUAAGACAGAUGUGAAAUCCCCGGGCUCAACCUGGGAACUGCAUUUGUGACUGCAUCGCUGGAGUGCGGCAGAGGGGGAUGGAAUUCCGCGUGUAGCAGUGAAAUGCGUAGAUAUGCGGAGGAACACCGAUGGCGAAGGCAAUCCCCUGGGCCUGCACUGACGCUCAUGCACGAAAGCGUGGGGAGCAAACAGG